rfam:Triticum aestivum genome assembly, contig: Triticum_aestivum_CS42_TGACv1_scaffold_031150_1BL
AAAGUACUCACUCCGUCCCAAAAUUCUUGUCUUAUGUUUAUCUAGAUACGGAUGUAUCAAGUCACAUUUUAGUAUUAGAUACAUCCGUAUCUAGAAAAAUCUAAGACAAGAAUUUUGGGACAGAGGGAGUAGUUC